rnacentral:tRNA from 1 species
GCUAGCGUGGCGUAAUGGCAAUGCGUCUGACUUCUAAUCAGAAGAUUGUGGGUUCGACCCCCACCGUGAGUG